rnacentral:lncRNA from 10 species
CUGGAACGCUUACCUCUGCAUCUCCGGUGGUGUAGGAGGAGGUCUGGUGGAGAGUCAGGACUUUCACUAUCAGCCAGCAGUAAUAAAACCAUGCCACCCAAGUGUUAAUGGAGACCACCUGGGGAGCCAGAGCUCCUACCACUGCCAGGAAGUAACAAGGAACUCUCCCCAUAACCUGCAUCAUCACUUUUGGUGUCAAGAAAGGCUCAGUGGGAAAUCUGGCCUUUUACCUCCAUUUGCCAGUGACAAGCAAGUGCUAUUCCUCCCCCUGCUGAAGUGGCAUUAAAGAAAUGAAGUUAAAACAAGAGGUUUAAAUGAGAUCUAAAGGCUUAUCACUUAAUAAAAAGUGUUCAAGAUUCAAUUUAAAAAACUCACUUUUCAUACCAACAGCCAGAAAGAUCUCAAACUGAAUGAAAAACAAUCAAUAGAGGCCAAUGCUAAAAUGACAGAGGUAUUAGAAACGUCUGACAAAGAUUUUUAAAGUGACCAUGAUAAAAAUGCUUCAAUGUGCAAUAUAAACAUGCUUGAAACAAAUAAAAAAAAGACAAUCUCAGCAAAGAAAUAGAAGAUAUAAAGAACUAUAUGAAAAAUGAAAAGUAAAAUGACUGAAGUAAUAAACUCAGUGGCUAGGCUUAACAGAAUGGAAGUGACAAAGGAAGGAUCAGUGAACUGGAAGACAGAACAAUAAAAAUAACUCAUUUAAACAACACAGAGAAAAUAGACUAAAAAAAAAAACCAGUUUCAGUGACCUGUGGGACUACAAUAAAACAUCCAGCAUUUAUGUUAUCAGGAUCCCGAAAGAACAGGAGAGACUGAAGAUGACAAAGCACUGAAAGAAAUAAUGGCUGAAAACUUCCCAAAUUUGGCAAGAGACAUAAAUCUACUGAGCCACAAACAGGACAAAUCCAAAGAAAUUCAUGUCAAGAUUCAUAAUAAUUAAACUUCUGAAAAUUAAAGACAAAGUUCUGAAAGCAGGCAGAGAAUGACAUCUUACCUGAAGGGGAAAAACACACAAGCAAGCAAGUAAACAACAUAAUAGCAGACUUUUUUUAUCUUAAAUCAUGGGGGCCAGAAGAAAGCAGUACAGUGUUUUUUGUUUUGUUUUAUUUUGUUUUGCUUUCUUCAAAUGCUGAAAGAAAAGAACUGUCAACCCAGAAUUCAAUAUCCAGUGAAAGUAUCCUUCAGGAAUGAAUGGGGCCAAUGAAGAUAUUCUCAAAAGAAGGAACUUUAAUAGAAUUUAUCACUAGCAGACUUACCCUAAAGAAAUGGCUAAAUGAAGUUCUCUAAAUGGAAAGUAAAUGGUAAAAGAAGGAGCCUUGGAACACCAGGAAGAAAAAAUAAAAGCUAAAAUACAGAUCUGAAAGCCGGAAGUCUGAGAUCAGAGUGACAGCAUGGUCAGCCUCUGCUGAGGACUGUCUUCAGGGUUGCAGACUGCAGACUUCUCAUUGUAUCCUCACAUGGUGGAAAGAGCAAGAUAACUUUCUGCGGUCUCCUUUAGAAGAACACUAAUUUCAUUCAUGAUGCCUCCUCUCUCAUGACCUAAUUAUCUUCCAAAGUCCCCACCUCCUAAUACCAUCACACUGGGGUAUGGAUUUCAACAUGUAACUUUUGGUGGGGAGUGGGAGAGGAGUACAAGCAUUCAGUCCAUAAUAACUACAUAAUAAAAAUAUUUAAAAAAUGAAAUUAUUAAACAGGAACACAGUACAAAUAAUAUGAUAGGACAAAGACCAAAUAUAUUUUAUAUGUUAAUAAAAGUAAAUAUUCAUUAAGAUAAUUUUCAGAAUGGAUCACAAAGCAAAUCCAACUUUGUUAUAUGUAAGAAAUACAUGUAAACAAAGAUAUUCACAAAGUUUAAGAGUUAAAUACACACCAGAGAAAUACAAAUGCAAAGAAAGCAGUGACGGAUAUCUUAAUAUCACACAACAUAGAAUUCAAGACAAAUAUCAUUAAAUAGGGAAGGAAGGGUACCUUUUUACAUAAAGGAUAUAAAUCAGUUUAAGAUAAUAUUUAUAAAUAACUAUAUGCCAAAUAAUAUAGCAUCCACCUUCAUAAAGCAGAAAUUAGACAGAAGAAAUAAGCAGAAAUACGAAUAGAAAGGGAAUUUAAUUCACUUUUCUCUGUCUAUUUUAUGCCAAGAGGACAAUAAUAAACAGGGAUAUAGAAUGCCUAAGUAAUUAAUGAGACAGACGUGAUUAAUCCAUGUAACUGAAGAACACAGAAUAAGUUUUUUGUUUUUUCAAAAGCUGUGAAAACAUUCAUAGAAAGUGAUCAUAUAUUAACUCAUAAAGAAAUAUUUAAUAAAUUCCAAAAAAUAGACAUAGUAUGGAUAACAUUGUGUAACUAUAAUUCAUUAAAACUAAACACUGAUAACAAAAGAGAAAGCAAAAACUCCUUCCAUCUGGAAAUUAUAAAGGAUCUCUUAAUGCUCAGAGAGGAAAUACAAAUAAAAAUGGAAGAUUGUUUUAGGAAAAAACAGUAAUGCAAGUACUCUUUAUCAGAAUUUGUGGGAUAAUAUGGGUUGAGUUGUGUACCCAAAUCAUAUGUUGAAGUCCUAACCCUCAUUAUCUCAAACUGUAAUCUUAUUUGGAGAUAAGGUCUUUACAGAGGUAAUCGAGUUAAAAUGAAGUCAUUAGAAG